rnacentral:rRNA from 1 species
AUGGUCUGUGUUACUCACGACUAUGAGGGCCCCUGGCACGGCAUUGGUGUAGGGCACACAGGCGUUUAUGAGGAAGAGGUUGAUGACCAACACGGUCACAACGGUGCACAUGAUGAAGGCGGACAUGAGGAAGGCAUCCCGGUGCGUGAGGGCAGUGUUGGGCACGAAGUCGAAUAUGAAGUUCUGGUUGAUCCGUGUGCUCUUCCACAUGAACAAGUUGCAUCCGUAGAGGAAGCAGUGCAGGCUGAUGAGUGCGAAGAUGCUGCAGGAGAACAAAGGAGGAUCUACUGUCAGGUCAAGGUAAAAUUUCAUCCUUAA